CCCCAUGGUUAACGGUAUUGGGGCGGGGCGGGGCUCGAACCCUGUUUUAAUGUGUGUGUGAAAGGCUAAAUGGUAAACACCAAUUUACAAUAAGGCAGGGCAUGCUAAGUUAACUUCUCCACGAUGACUUUCCCAAAAAACAUGGAUGUUUUUGAGAUAUAAGCUAGUUUGGGUUGAGUUUCGGUUUCUGGUUGCUUUAUUAGUUGAUUUAUCCCAGAAAAGAGUGAACUCGUGAAAACAUACCUUGGUACUCGUCACUCCACACUCCUGCUGUUAAUGGGUUCUCUGCCUCGUUCCUGGCUGAAAAUAAGCAGAUAUACCCCAACUUACAGGAUAUGGAAGAGGAAAAGAUUAAGAAAUGCACCUCCACACGUAAUUUUGCCUGUAUCCUGUACAACAACAAAAAAAGUAAGCGUCAGGGGCAAGCUAGGAGGCUUCAAGGCCUCAGUGACACCAGUCAAAGCCGUUCGUGAUUGGAGGAACCGAACCUAAACCUGUUCGGAGCAGGACGAGUGUGCCACCGAUGUCGACGUAUGUAGCUGUACCACAGCAAAAUGGAGCGUUUUACUGGGUGCAUAUUCGACAGAGAAACAAACCCUCUGUCAGUUCACAGAUUUAGCGAGAAAAAUAAUCCACCUGCGGCUGUCUGCAGGGGGCUGCGGGCUUCGACACAAGACCGGAGGCCCAGCACCCCUGGCCUCUGGAGCAAAUGGUGCUCUCUGCUGCAUUCCCUCCUGUGCACACCCGUCAUUCUUCUGUUGACUUGAUGCAGUUUCUACAGAUAGCAUUCCAUCCGUCCGUAUGUUCUUUUAAUUGCCCUGCAACCGGGAACCUGACAAGGAUCCCUCUGUCUGCUGUUACUGGAAAGAGAAAUAAAUAAACCUGAUCUACUGUCCCAUUGAUUACUUGUCACACCUCCCUGUUGACAGUACCGGUGCAAGGGGAACACCAGUUGAAACUGAAUCGGAUGAGUUUGUAUCUGGAGGACCUCUCGCCUUGAAACUGACCAGACGCUUAAAGCAUGAUUUUAUCCAAUAUUCCCUUGAUGUCGCCCUCAUUUCUGAUUCAUGUGCUGUCAAAAAAAAAAA